UCCACGACAAACACCCACCGACGCCGUUGUCCGCCGCAUCCGCCCUCGCCGCCGCUCCUCCUCCGGCUGAACCUAGUUGAAGUCCGGUCUGCGCCACUCCUUUGCCCCACCGAUUUCCCCACUCCGCCUCCGCCGCUAUUCCACCGCGCCGAUGUCUCGCCUCCGCCUCCUCCGCCGCAGCUCCUCCUCCACCACACUGAUACCCCGCCUCCGGCUCCUCCGCCGCUGCUCCACCUCCACCUCCACCUCACCGCCCUCAGGCCCCUGGUCUCCCCGAGACGCUUUUGUCGCCGCCAUAGAGCGUGUUCGCGCCGGGACGCUCAGCCCGGAAGACGCUCACCACCUGUUCGACGAUUUGCUCGGUCAAGCCACCCCGGUUCCCGAUCGCACCAUGAACGGCGUCCUCGCCCGUGCCACGUCCCCCGCCGCCUGCAUCAGAGAUGGCCCCGCCCUUGCCGUCGCUCUCUUCAACCGUGUGUGCCGAGAAUAGGCCGGUCCGCAUGUGGCGGCGCCCACAGUCCACACCUAUGGCAUCCUCAUGGACUGCUGCUGCCGCGCACGUCGCCCGGACCUAGGGCUUGCCUUAUUCGGCCGCUUCCUCAGGACAGGCCUGAAGGCAAACGAGAUCGUCGCCACCACCUUCCUCAAGUGCCUCUGCUGCGCGAAACGGACAGAAGAGGCUGUGAAAGUACUGCUUCACAGGAUGCCCGAGCUGGGCUGUGUGCCUAAUGCCAUCUCGUACUCCAUAGUUUUGAAAAGCUUGUGUGAAAAUAGCAUGAGUCAGCAGGCACUCGACCUGCUCCAGAUGGCGACAAAAGAAGGAGGCUGCCUUCCUGAUGUGGUGGCAUAUAGCGCAAUCAUCCAUGGCUUCUUUAAGGAGGGCGAAAUAGACAAGGCAUGCCAUCUAUUCCAUGAAAUGAUGCGGCAAGGGGUUGUGCCGACUGUGGUGACAUACAACAUAAUAAUUGAUGCGUUGUGCAAGGCCGGAGAAAUGGACAAGGCAGAGCUAGUCUUUCAGCGGAUGGCUCGUAAUGGUGCGCAGCCUAAUAAAGCGACAUGUAAUGGCAAUAAAUUUAGUUCACUGACUGACGGAUAUUGCUCAGUCGCCAAGAUGGAUAAAACAUUCAAACUGCUUGAUGCCAUGAUAUCAGUUGGAAUUGAGCCUGAUGCUGUUACUUAUAGUGCACUUCUUGAUGGCUAUUUUAAAAAUGGAAGGAUCGAUGAUGGUUUGACCCUAUUUAGAGAAAUGUCGUGCGAGUUAAACCUACAACUGUGACAUAUGGCAUCAUACUGGAUGGUUUAUAUCGUGCUGGGAGAACUGCUGCUGCAAAGGAAAUGUUUCAUCAGAUGAUCAAAAGUGGAAUAACAGUGCCCGUUUCCAUAUACACUAUAAUUCUUAGAGGACUUUGUAAAAAUAAUUGCGCUGGCGAAGCAAUCACCAUGUUCCAGGAAUUACGUGCAAUGAAUGUGAAGUUUGAUAUCAUAACACUCAAUACCAUGAUUAAUGCCAUGUACAAGGUUCAGAGAAGAGAAGAAGCUAAAGGUUUGUUUGCUGCAAUAUCAGCCAGUGGGUUGAUGCCUGAUGCUUAUACUUACAACGUAAUGAUAAACAAUCUUCUAAAAGAAGGAUCAGUGGAAGAAGUUGACAAUAUGUUUUCAUUGAUGGAGAAGAGUGGUUGUGCUCCCAGCUCUCAUCUUGUAAAUGAUAUCAUCAGAAGGUUGUUGGAAAAAGGUGAGAUUGCCAAGGCUGGAAAUUAUUUGUCUAAAGUUGAUGGGAAGAUCAUCUCACUUGAAGAUUCAACCAUUUCAUUGUUGUCGUCUCUUUUUUCAAGCAAAGGGAAAUAUCGGGAGAACAUCAAGUUACUUCCUGCAAAUUAUCACUUUUUAGAUGGAUUUAGUGGCAUUGCACAUGAGACUAACUCCUAAGAAAGCACGGUUCAACUCUUUUCUUGCCAUAAGGCCCUCCUGCUAGUACAAGAUAUCUUAAUGGCCUGCUUUGUACCUUCAAUAUUUCAUUGAGUUCAUUUUGUGAUGUGUCAAAGUCACAAGAAUGUGUAAUGUCUAUGAAUCUUUUGAUCUUCGAUGGGCAAGGAAACGUUGACCAAGUAGUCUAAUUCCAUUGGUGGUAUGAGGUAAUGACUUCGUAAGAAUUUUUGGGGUAAUUACUUCUGAUGCGAUUUGGGAAGGACAAACAGGUUCUUGAAGAAUGUAUGUCUGAGGUUGCUGAUGCUAUGUUGAGUUAGCAGAUAUGCGAGCUCAUGCCAGAGUCUCCUGUAUUCUAUCCUGUCAGUUCCAUUGGUGGAGCUUGUUACAUACAGGUAAAGGUAUGGCCAAGAAUUCACCGGUGUGUGCUUCUGAUUCAAUCUGCAGGAUGCCAACACCACCUCGGGUCCUGCACUUUCAUAGGGAUGAGGCGCCACUGCCAGCCUUGCAUUGAUGGGCUGUACUUACUUCCCCUCUUCAUGUACGCGCUCACAGCAAGUUCUACCUCCAGGACAAGACCUUCCCUAGCCACCAGAACGUUUGUAGAAGACAUGUUUUUAGCUGUAGUUGAACAGCAGCUGAAUCACCAAAGCUCGGCGCAUUAGAGAUGUGAACGCGAGGAAGAGUGUUGCAGUGGGUGGCUAGACAUAUGGCUUUCUUGACCAAUCUGAAACUGUACAACCUUGAAGAGAAUACCUGCAAGCAGCCCCGUAUUGGAGUAUGAGUUAAGUGAUGGAAUCAUCAUGAAUUGGCUCUACCAGACUGGUAUCGAGCUAUAUGGCCCAAGGUGGGCUAUGUGCAUGUUUUGCACAGCUUGAAUAAUUGGAUAUCGUAAGAUGAGAUGCGCUCGUCCACUGGCCAUACAAAAGAGUUCCAAAGCUUGUAUCAGAAGGCGGCACGAAGCGCGGAUGCUGUGCUGGAGAGGAUGAACGUGCGCUCUGAGAAGGUGCACGGGCAAUCGACCGGAGCUUGCUGCAAAUGAUAAUUUUCAGUUUGGCAGCUCAACUGCGAAAUGCUGCUGCUGCCAACACGUAGGCAUUCCAGGUCAAAAUCAAGUUCAAGAUAUCCAACACACGUCCGCCAUUUUUCAUGGAUUGCAGAUCCUUACCACGGAAGGCCUGAUGCAUCUGCGCGGUCCUGCUCUUGACCUUAUUCAUCUCGCUGAAGUUCGGCACGGCAUUGGGAACUGAACCAUCUCCUGCUGAAAUCACUUUAGUAAGUAAGGCAUCAAGAUGUCUCACCCGAGUUGACCCUCAUCCACUUUUCUUGCGUCUUGAAUGUGCCGACAGGCUAGAAAACAGAGCCACAGCAAAGGCACAAAGGUAUCUUAUGGCCACUUACCUGGUAAGAUGUACCUCUUGUGAUACUUUGGAGCGGCGAUCGACAAGGAUUGCUGCGUCAGGCCUUCUCUGUUCACGCAUGCGUGGAUCGCCUGAGCUCUCUGAAACCAACCGCCUCGUUAAAUCCGAAGGCAUAUUGCAAGGAGAUUUACUGCUGAAUUUAGGAUGCACCAACUAAAACCUGCUGGAUGCAGGAGACCCGCAGGUUGGCUUCGGCCACCUCGUCGAACCUUUGAUCGACAAGGCUGGAGACUUUGAAGGAUACGGACCCUAGGUGAUCUACAGUGUUGACCAGGGCCUUCACAGCGUAUUCCUU